ensembl:lncRNA
GUGGGAAAGAAGUUUUCUCUCCAGAGAGAGAAGCAGAGGGUAAAAAGCCUCAAUUCACAUUUAGUAGGAAUUACCUGUCCUUCCUAAAGCCAAGCCAAAGGUGAGGAGGGCCUGAAAUACAGCCACCAUUCUGCUUGACACACCGUGUCCUCUAACAACUUCACAGUUGCAUCUGCCCUAAAGAAAUUUGUUCUACUUUUCAUAGAAGAUCUCUCCAUGGACCAAGCCAACUGUCCGUGCAGAAACAUCUGCUUAAAUAAGCACGCCAGGCCUCCCUGUCCAUCACAAACUCCCGGAGUUCACUCAGACUCACGUCCAUCGAGUCAGUGAUGCCAUCCAGCCAUCUCAUCCUCUGUUGUCCCCUUCUCCUCCUGCCCCCAAUCCCUCCCAGCAUCAGAGUCUUUUCCAAUGAGUCAAGUCUUCGCAUAUAUAUAAAUAUGAAUUACUUUGCUGUAAACCUAAAACUAAUAAAAUGUUGCAAAUAAAAAAAGAAAAAAG